CCUACGGGGGGCAGCAGUGAGGAAUAUUGGUCAAUGGGCGCGACCCUGAACCAGCCAAGCCGCGUGAGGGAGGACGGCCCUACGGGUUGUAAACCUCUUUUGCCGGGGAGCAACGGGCGUCACGUGUGGCGCCACUGAGAGUACCCGGAGAAAAAGCAUCGGCUAACUCCGUGCCAGCAGCCGCGGUAAUACGGGGGAUGCGAGCGUUAUCGGGAUUUAUUGGGUUUUAAGGGUGCGUUGGUGGAUCGUUAAGUCAGUGGUAAAAUUGAGGGGCUCAACCCCUUCCCGCCAUUGAAACUGGCGUUCUAGAGUGGAGGAGAGGGAUGCGGAAUGCGGGGUGUAGCGGUGAAAUGCAUAGAUAUCACGCAGAACCCCGAUGGCGAAGGCAGCAUGCCGGCUUCCGACUGACGCUGAAGCACGAAAGCGUGGGGAUCGAACAGGAUUAGAUACCCCAGUAGUC
rnacentral:rRNA from 1 species